rnacentral:rRNA from 1 species
UUGAUCCUGGCUCAGGAUGAACGUUGGCGGCGUGCCUAAUACAUGCAAGUCGAACGAAGAGCUUAGAGUACAAUACCCUGAGUACUCUUAGUGGCGAACGGGUGAGUAACGCGUUGGUAACCUGCCCCAAAGAUAGGGAUAACAGUUCGAAAGGACUGCUAAUACCUUGUGUGGUCAUUUAGCUUAGACGCUUUUUGACUAAAGGAGCUUGCUCCGCUUUGGGAGGGGCCUGCGUCCCAUCAGCUAGUUGGUAGGGUAAUGGCCUACCAAGGCAAUGACGGGUAGGGGACCUGAGAGGGUGGCCCCCCACAAUGGAACUGAAACACGGUCCAUACACCUACGGGUGGCAGCAGUAGGGAAUAUUGGUAAUGUGCGAAAGCGCGAACCAGCAACGCCGCGUGUGCGAAGAAGGCCUUCGGGUUGUAAAGCACUUUUCGGGAGGAAGAGGAAGGACUGUACUCCCGGAAUAAGUCUCGGCUAACUACGUGCCAGCAGCCGCGGUAAUACGUAGGAGGCAAACGUUAUCCGGAUUUACUGGGCGUAAAGCGCGUGCAGGCUGUUCGAUAAGUUGGGCGUGAAAGCUCCCGGCUCAACUGGGAGAGGUCGUUCAAUACUGUCGGACUAGAGGAUGGUAGAGGAAGGUGGAAUUCCGGGUGUAGUGGUGAAAUGCGCAGAUAUCCGGAGGAACACCAGUGGCGAAAGCGGCCUUCUGGACCAUUCCUGACGCUCAGACGCGAAAGCUAGGGUAGCAAACGGGAUUAGAGACCCCGGUAGUCCUAGCUGUAAACGAUGUGAACUUGGCGUCGGUGGGAUUAAAUCCAUCGGUGUCGUAGCUAACGCGAUAAGUUCACCGCCUGAGGACUACGGCCGCAAGGUUAAAACUCAAAGGAAUUGACGGGGAACCGUACAAGCAGCGGAGCGUG